rnacentral:rRNA from 1 species
GUCCUGGAUUCAGCGGCGGACGGGUGAGUAAUGCCUAGGAAUCUGCCUGGUAGUGGGGGAUAACGUCCGGAAACGGGCGCUAAUACCGCAUACGUCCUGAGGGAGAAAGUGGGGGAUCUUCGGACCUCACGCUAUCAGAUGAGCCUAGGUCGGAUUAGCUAGUUGGUGGGGUAAAGGCCUACCAAGGCGACGAUCCGUAACUGGUCUGAGAGGAUGAUCAGUCACACUGGAACUGAGACACGGUCCAGACUCCUACGGGAGGCAGCAGUGGGGAAUAUUGGACAAUGGGCGAAAGCCUGAUCCAGCCAUGCCGCGUGUGUGAAGAAGGUCUUCGGAUUGUAAAGCACUUUAAGUUGGGAGGAAGGGCAGUAAGUUAAUACCUUGCUGUUUUGACGUUACCAACAGAAUAAGCACCGGCUAACUUCGUGCCAGCAGCCGCGGUAAUACGAAGGGUGCAAGCGUUAAUCGGAAUUACUGGGCGUAAAGCGCGCGUAGGUGGUUCAGCAAGUUGGAUGUGAAAUCCCCGGGCUCAACCUGGGAACUGCAUCCAAAACUACUGAGCUAGAGUACGGUAGAGGGUGGUGGAAUUUCCUGUGUAGCGGUGAAAUGCGUAGAUAUAGGAAGGAACACCAGUGGCGAAGGCGACCACCUGGACUGAUACUGACACUGAGGUGCGAAAGCGUGGGGAGCAAACAGGAUUAGAUACCCCUGGUAGA